GGAUUCCAUUCGCAGUUAGUUCAGUAGCGUGGAUGGAGAAUAACGCGUGGCUGGAGGAACAAUUGAAAAAUGGAUAAGAUAAUAAAACAAAAAAAAUUAUCAAAUUAUGAAGCUGCAGGCCCAGUUAUUGGAACAACACAAAAUAUUAGAUAACAACAAAGCUAAGGAUCGUAGGCCUAAUACGUAAUGAUUCUAUUUAUUUGCUUUUAUUCAUUCGUGUUUUGUAGCUCAAAUUUUGAGUCUACUAGCUCAGCUAGGGGAAAAGAACAAAUUGGAACGAAACAGUUUCCAAACAGUGAAGGGGGUUUUUCAAAACUCAUCCCUAACUGAAUGUGAGGAUGAGUUGGCAUUAGGCGAACACAGCCAGUUAUUCAGUCCACCAUCUGACAUUGUGUGUUAAAGUUAGAUUCUGUUAGUGCUGCACUAAAAGAAUUGUUUGUGAUAAGCCCAUGCAGUGAAGGAACUGAACAAUUGUGGGACCGUAUUUGGGCCGAAAAUGGGUGUGGUACAGAAACCCAGAAAUGGCACAAGUUUAACAUGAAACAUGGAUUAGAAUUUUAGUGGGGGAUCAAGUCAAGUCUGGAAGUGUUACAGGAUGGAAGGGUGAGCCUACAGUUGAAAAACACUGAAAGUGCAUUACCAUUAAGAUAUGAGGUAAAGUAAUAGAGUAUGCAAAUUGUCUAAUGAGAAGUACCAUCUUGUGUGAAUGAAUCCUGUGUAACAGCAAUCCUUUAUAGUUCUGUCACAGCUAGAAGCCUCAAAUAAUUCUGCUUCUCUUGCUAAAGAACAACUUGUCCUUUAUGUUCAGGGUGUUGGUGAAGCUGGGUACUUAAAUGGCUCUAAAGAUGUUUCAUUUCAUUGACAUUGCAGCGAUGAACAUCAUACAUGGACUUUUUAGGAAAGGAUUUUCAGCAUACUGGGAACACAACUAUCAACAAUGCAACAUUCUAGGGGUGCUAUUUUAUCAUUCAAGAGCCUUAUACCAUGAUUUUCAUCUGCAAUUUGUAUGGCCUUUCCCAAGCUUCUGCCAGAAGUUGAAUCUAUAAGUCAUGUAAGUCACAUGAGCAACAAUUGAGAUGCUUAAUGGUGUUUUUCUUUUCUCAGCAUAGGUUAAUAGUAACAUUGGAUCUGAAAAAAAUUCUUGGUUGGGGCAUGACACUGAAUAAAUUGUAAUGAUUGAAUGGAUGACAUGACAUUUCUAUACUUCAUUCGGAUUCCCGAGAUGGUAUUUUAUAUUUAAAAAAUUGAAGUGCAUAUCUGGGCUCCCUUCC